GAAUACAAAAAAAACGAGAAGACCUAAAGCUAACCUAACAAAAAGAAGCAUCAGCCGUGAAUACACAAAAUGGGGAACCUAGAGCUAACACCAAGAAAAACGCCUAAAAACUUAGGGACUAAGAUUCUGACAAUCCGCCGUUUUCCCUGAAAACAAGGCCUCUCCAUCAUUCUGCUCCUUCUAUAGCCAAACGACUACCCCUAUAACCACUGCCGUUUACACCACCCAGCGACCACCCAUCAACCUUCAGACCCAAAAGGCCCUUCCAACAACCCUUCCAUCUCCUCAAUCCAAAACUAGAAACCCCAGCCAGAACCCCAUCUCCAAGUCAUUUUCUCUUCUUCUUCAACCAAGACAACACCAAAAACAAAAACUAACUCAAAAACCUAGCUGCAGCCAAAUAUAUGAUCUUUUAAUAAUUGAAUCUUAAGCUAAAGGUUGAAUCUUAACCCCAUCCCCCUCCUUGAUGGGUUUGACAACGGCAACCUGAUUGAAGCUUUCUAAUAUUAAUUUGUUUACCUUACCAUGAACAAAUUGGAUUAGGAAAUGAGUAAUAUUUAUAUUCAAUCCUAAAAGUCAAGAAAAGUAGUAGUUUUGGUAGUACAAUGAUGGCAAAUUGUUUGCUAAGAGAUCGAGUUCAGUUCGUCGGAUUUCAGAUCUUGUCGAUUAUUUGAUUUUCCGAUGAGGUUCAAUAUGACGAUGCCAUUCGAGGUUAUUUUCAUGGUCUAUGGAUCAAUCUCUUGCUACUGUUGCAUUUUUUCCAGUCAGAUAUCAAUCGCCGGAUUCGUUGUAACUGAAUUCUCUUUAAUAGAAAGGAAAGCUUGCUGAGGUCCAUUUCUCUUCACUAAUCCUACUUGAUUUCUAUUUAUAUUCCCUUAUUUCUAAUAUCUGUUUUUGUUUUUAUUGCUUCUUCAUUGUUUUGCUGCAUAAGUAAUUCAUGAUAUAUAGUCAACUACAUGAAUAUACUACUAUAUUAGCUAAGAUGAAGAGGCCAACAUCAUAUUCUUCGUUGUUUACCUUUUAACUCUUUGGAUUGCUUCUAAAUGGUUGGUUGAUUGCUAUAUUCAAUUAACUCCAUGUAUGUGAUAGUUAGUUAAUAAAGACAUACCACCAAUUAAUUAAUUAAAAGAAGGAUAAAGGAAUGGACAUUAGUUGGGUCGUGGGAGUGGUUUUAGAUGAGAUAGGAAUCUGGUUAAUUGUGAAUUAAACGAGUUUGAGCUUUGGUCAUAGUCAACACAUGUGAAUUGGGUUUAACAUUAAUUUUACCUUUAUUUCGUCCGUUUAACCUCUAGGAGCAUACUUAGGCCGACCACAUUUGGGGUAGGCAAACUUUUCGGAGGGUAAUAAAUCAUUGUGACUAUGGGUACGGUUCCCAUGGCAUGGACACGAUACAUUAUAAAUUCGGGUGUGCAUUUCAUGUCACCCGAAUCCAAUUUCCAAUAAGGUUAAAUAGAACGUGUCGUGAACUGCGGGUGCAUUUCAUGUAGCAUGGCUUACGAUGUGUUUUGAAUAACUUUGAAUUUUCCUGCAAUAUUAAAAGUGGCUAAAAGGUUAAAAAGUGCACAUAGGUUUAAAUGUGUUUUAAAUCAGAUAAAUAGGCCAAUAAUAAUAGUUGAGCGACCGUUCUAGAACCACGGAACUAGGGAAUGCCUAACACCUUCUCCCGGGUUAACAGAAUUCCUUACUCGGAUUUUUAUGUUUGCAGACUGUAAAAUAGAGUCAAUCUUUCCUCGAUUCGUAAUUUGAACCGGUGACUUGGGACACCAUAAAUUAUCUCAACUGGUGACUCUGAAUAAAUAAAUAAUCCUAUUUCGAUUGUCACUUAAAUUGGAGAAAACUCCCUUAAUACCCUUCUGGUGGUAGAAAAAGGAGGUGUGACAGCAGAUACACUCGAUCCUCCAAGAUGUAUCCACAAUCUGUAGGAAUGAAGUCCUCAUUUCGGUCUAACUGCUUUUUCACCUGUCUAACCACUUUUUCUCCUCAACAGUCGCGGUCGGUCUGGUUUCUGGGCUAACUGCUGCAACCAGUUGAGCCCCGCCUGUAGGUAGUGGACAUGGAGUCUGAUAAAUGGCAGCAACGUGCCUUGGAGCAUA
rnacentral:lncRNA from 1 species